CGUCUCAUUGUUGUCAGGCCCCCUGAGUGAAAUGACUGCUGCGGUGCAGGGGUUAGACUGAGCCCUCUUAAACCAGAUUGGGAAUGUCAAUCCUGGGAACAAGUCAGGCAACCUCAAACAGCCUCAGAAGAGACAUUCCAUCAAACCAGACCCCUUUAUGGUACCUUGCACUCGGAGUCCAGGGUUUCCUGCAUUUAUCACGACAAGUGCAGUCAUAUCUGCAACCACAAGGCAGGCAAAGCUGGAAGCAACUUCCUUUUCAUGUGGGAAGCAAAUCUCCACUAAUGCACUACAGCCUUCUGUCCCUCCAGCCUGGAAACCAGAACAUCAGGAGCAGGAAGCACAGCAGGCAGAACCUUCCUUCAGCCCCUGGACUGAAUCCAAAGCCACCUCUGCAUGUGGUCCAUGGCACAGCUCCAGCAGCAGGACCUCCUGUGCUGAGGGACCACAGCCCCACACCACCACUGCCCAGCCCCAGGGGACUCUGGCUCACCUCUCCUGACCCAGAGGUUUCUCAUUUGCAGGGUCCCAGCCAGAGCUGGGCACUUUGUGAUGUUUGUUCUAGACCACCUUGAGUGGAGGUGUCAGGUCCCCCAGGGCAGCUCCAUCACCCCAAGCUCUGUGGGAGCAAUUCCUGAGUGCUUUUAACAGCAGCUUUCCUACACAGUAGGAAAAGUUUCCCACUUCAGUAACCAAGUCAUUUCUCCCUGAAGUUUUGGAUGAAAAAUAAGAUGUAGAACCAAAUUAUCCACUGUUUAUGUACAUAAUUCCCUGUGCAUCUGGAUAAGAGCAUGCCCGUGGCCUCUUUAUGCUGCAUCUGAUUCUCAUUAGGUGCUUGUGAUUCCUUCUUGAUAAGGUUUUAUUGCUCCCCUUGACACUCUGAGCUAUGGCUGUGCUCUUUAUUCUCUGCAGCUGCCCUGGUGUGGCUGAGGACUGCCCAGCCCAGUCUGAGCUGAUCCGCAACAAGUUCUGUCAAAAGACAGCCCUGGUGCUUAAAGAACUAGAAAUAAAUCGAGAUCUCUCCAAAGUUAA